CAGGUACUACUAUGUUGGUGUGCCCUACUGCUGUACCGGCUACCUGUCGAAAGAUAACAUUGCUUGUGAUUAUGCCAUUUGUGCGGGAAGAGUCGAUCCAGCCGCUUGUAGUGUGUAUCAUGCAGACUAUGUAGAGUACAGAAGUGGCUUCCGUCAACACAACAGUGGCGGAAGUUGUUUGUCACCAGAGGUCUGUGGAAACUGUAACGACGGAUUUUACGGCAACGGACCAAACUGUGAAAUUUGUCCAAAAAUAGCCAACUGUAAGCACCAGCGGUGUAUGGUGGCC